rnacentral:lncRNA from 1 species
AAGGUAGAAGUAAUCUCUUACGCUUAAUUUUUUUUAAUUUUUUAUAUAAAUUAUAUAUCAGACAACAAUGUUUAACGUUGUUUUACCAUCUCAAAAUCACUAAAUCACGUACGGAAAAAAGAAUGACGGGAUUUAAAAAAAAAAACGAAAAGAGGCAAAAAGACACAUCUAGAUAAUGACAGAUUUACAUUUAUAUUUUUAUCUCCAUUAUGAGAUGUAGUGGUUCAACAAUCAUAAUCUAAAAUAUUUUUGAUAAAUAAUGAACACAAACUAUUAAUUAAUGGAUUAAUAGGAAAUUUAGUACAUUUUCAAGAUAUAAUUAGAAAACUAAUACAUAUACUAUUUAUAAUUGGUAAAAUAAUACAUGAGACCUACUUUAGAGAUAGAAAAUAUGUGAGAUAGGGGAAAUUAGAAGAAAUAAAAAUGACAUAGGAGGGUAAUUUUUUAUUCUCCUGAUUUUCAUUUAUUUUUUCAUUUUUGUUUUCUUUUUUUCUUUUAAUAUCACCACCCAAAAUAUCUUAUAAUUAAAAUACUAGGUUUUGUAAAAUUCUUUUUUAAAAUAUUUUUGACACAUAAAAAUCUAUAAGUUUUUCUCUAUAAUUUGAUAUACAUUUUGCAUUAUAAAUUAUAAAUAUUUUUCAUAUAUACAUAUUUAUUUGUACAGUUUAGUAUGUUUACAUACUUUAUCGUACAGUUUAAUAUGCGUACAGACGUAUUUGUACAGCUGAUUAAAUGUACAGAUGUACCCGUACAGUUUACUAAAUGUACGAAUGUAUAAAAAAUUACACAUUUUUAUUCGUAUAACUAUUAUUGUAUAAUGAAAUAUGCAUAUUUAUGUACAUUUGUACACUAAUAUUCUGUACGGAUGAUAUUAUGUAGUACUUUAAAUAUUGUACAAAAAUAUUUUUUUGCAUAUCUGUACAUAAGAUAUGCUGUACGAAUUAUACUAUAUAAUUAGUACAGUGGCAUACUCGUAAAUAUUUUGUUUUUCUGGGUGCUUAAAUGUCAAUGAAAUAGUACCAAAUAGUGGGAAUGUACUAGUUUGCUAAUUAUAAAUAGUAAUUGUACUAGUAUUAUAAUUAAGUUUCAAAAAUGUACUAUUUAUCCAACCCACCCUUAAUUAAUUAUAAGGUGGAGCAAAAAGGAGAAGGUCCAGGGUUUAGAUGCUCGCAUGGCAUAGCACAGGUAGGAAACAAGAUUUACGCUUUUGGUGGGGAGCUCACACCAAAUCAGCCCAUCGACAAACACCUUUACGUCUUUGACCUCGAGACCCGUACUUGGUCCAUUUCUCCAGCUACCGGAGAGGUUCCUCACCUCUCUUGCUUAGGUGUCCGUAUGGUUGCAGUUGGAUCAACCCUCUAUGUCUUCGGAGGCCGAGACGCGUCACGGCAAUAUAACGGGUUCUACUCAUUUGACACGACCACGAAUGAGUGGAAACUUGUAACCCCGCUCGAAGAAGGUCCCACUCCUCGUAGUUUCCACUCGAUGGCAGCUGAUGAGAACAACGUUUACGUUUUCGGUGGAGUGGGUGCUACGGACCGGCUCAAGACACUAGACGCUUACAACAUCGCUGAUAAGAAGUGGGUGCAGUGUGCGACUCCAGGAGAAAACUUUAGCGUUAGAGGAGGAGCAGGGCUCGAAGUGGUGCAAGGGAAGGUAUGGGUUGUGUAUGGUUUCAACGGAUGUGAAGUUGACGAUGUUCAUUACUAUGAUCCUGUACAAGACAAGUGGACACAAGUGGAAACAUUCGGUGAGAGGCCUUCAGAAAGGAGUGUGUUCGCAAGUGCGGUUGUUGGGAAACACAUUCUUAUGUUUGGAGGUGAGAUUGCGAUGGACCCGCUAGCUCACGCGGGUCCGGGUCAGCUGGCCGAUGGAACUUUUUCUUUGGACACAGAGACGAUGAAAUGGGAGAGGUUGGAUAAGUUUGGUGAAGAGGAGGAGACUCCAAGUAGCAGAGGAUGGACCGCGUCAACAACAGGAACCAUUGAUGGUAAGAAAGGGCUUGUGAUGCAUGCUGGGAAAGCUCCAACCAAUGACCGGUUUGAUGAUCUCUUCUUUUACGGAAUUGAAUCUGGUUAACUAAUUAAAACGCGGUCUGAUGAUAACCGUUUGUGAUUUUAAGUAUGUGUGCAAUAAGGAAGGGUCGUGAAUUCGUGAUGAAUGACUAUGCCCAUAUAUGAUCCUUUGUCAGUUUGCUGUUUUCUUCUUUCUACAUGUUUGUUUCAUGUUUUGUGUGUAAUAAACUAUUUAUUUUCGUUUAACAAAAAAUAAGUAAAGAAAUUGUUUAUUUUCCUGAAAGAAAUCGCCAGAUCAUUUAUCGAAAAGAACAAAAUUAAAAAAUCGCAAGAUAAUGAACCUCUAUAAUGAUUAGUCCCAUAUGCAUGAUUAAAAUCCAGGGACAAGGAUCAAUACUCAAUUACCAAUUCAUCAUAAAAGGUGCGACUAGCUAGUGACAUUAAAAAAACAUUCAGCUAGUCAAAUUAGAUGAAAAAGACAAACUAGUAUUAUUUAUAUUAUUUUUUAUUUUUUUUAUUUUUCUGGUUGGAUUAGUUUUAAUUGUAUUUUCAUACUUAAUUUUUAACUCUAAAUAUUAUUAGCCUGAUCCAAAACUGAACAAUCUAUAUUAGUAUUUGUCCACCACUACUAUCCAAUUCGGUGGUUUGUGUGGUGGAGUCCCACACCAACUAGGUUAAAAAAAAUAAGUUUUAUUAAAACUUUCCAGAAUUAAGUCUUAUAAAUUAUAAUAAUUAUGAUUUAAUGACAUAUUUUAGAGAUAAUGUGUAAGGAAUCAUGGCAUUUUAUAUGAUGUGGAUGGUUCAAUUCAAAAAUAAGUAUGUACAUAUUCUGAAAAACGUAUCUAAUAUUUUCUCACUGAUUUUUUUUUUAUAUAUUAAGCAUUUGUCAACUGUUACUUCUUUUGGUGCAAACUUUAAUUAGUCUCCGUAUGUGAAAAUAAAAGAGCAGUUAAUGAAGGAGAACUAAUUACGUAACACUUACAAAAAAAAAAAAAAAAAAAAAAAAAAAAAAAAAAAAAAAAACUAAUUAAGACAGAGAUCAUGGUGGGAACUAGGACCAAUUAAGAUUAUGUUUCCAUCUUCGUGUUAAACUGCUAAUUCAUACGACGUGUGGUAAACAAUUGUAUAAACAUAAUUAGGAAGACAAGUUUCUUUAUAGUAUAAACAUAAUAUCAGUGAAAAAAGAAUAAAUUAAGUAGAACAUUAAUAUACAACUUGCCAGUUGCCACACAACCCGUUCACACGUCGUUUCCUCUAAAAUUUCUCUAUCAACUCCAUGUUACGGUUCAACAAUAUCUAGAGUGCAUCCACGAUCAUCGUUUGACUCUCUGCGGAAGAUACCAUUAGUGCUACGAUUCAGGCUAAGGUAGGGUCUUUUAUUUAGAAUUAACUAGUACAUUAGCCUUAAACUAGGGCCGCAACAACAUCAUUAGGCCACGAUGCAAGGGGAGACCAUAUACUGUAUACUGAUUCAAAGUCGUGCCAACGUUUACUGAUGACAUUAGCAAACACAAAAUGGAAAGCUGGAAUUUCUUUUUUCUUUUAAAGUGAAGAAUACAAAACACCAUCGUCAUAUAAUGUAACGUAUAAAAAAACUAACCUAGCAACCAAGUUAUUAAUUACAAAAACACAAAAAUGUUAAUGAAAACGAAUCCUUGCAACAACAAAAAAAAAAUCAACUAGUUAUAAUAUUUUUCAAAAAAAAAACAAAUAUUUGCUUUUUUAUAAUCUUUCAAAACGUGACACACACAUGCAUUUAAAUAUAGCUGUACUGUAUUUAUAUUAAAGUAAAACCACGCGAAGCGAGCCGUGAGCUUUUUAUUUUAGCUAAUAAGGAAUAUAUCUUUAAGGGAUUUAACAUAUAACUUGAAUUGACUUGUAUUGAUAAAUAUAGAAGGCAAACAUUUAAUUUCUGUACACUCAAUUUCAUUCAUCCGCAUAAUUGGGUAUACAAAAUCAUUGUUGGGUUUGUCGACAUUUACUUGUUUAUAGACCAAAUGAAUUAGACAUGACUAUAAAUCUAUAAUGGUAUAAUUAUAUAUUAGUCAUGGAGGUUUGAAUGAUAACGUACUAUAUAUAAUAUUAAUAUAUAUUUGUUACAAUAACGACAAAAAGAGAGAAAAAAACAUACAUGAGUUGGCAUAACAUGUAUACGUGUUUAAUGAAAAGUGUUCCUUAGUAGUAUUAACUAAUAUGUCUCCAUCUAAACUGGAUUAUUCAUUUAAUCCCUCGCGGUUCACGAGAUAAUAGUAUAUUUCAAGAAAUACUUCAACCAGUGCUUCCAUGUGCCCAUAAAUACCCAUGCAAAUUCCCAAACUGGAUCACUCACCAAUCAUUAAUUACUUUACUCUCAGGUCAGCUCUCUCAUCAUCUCCCUUCCCCUCUCCAUCAUAUGAUCGUAGUUUACAUAGCAUUUUGUUUAUAAUAUGAUCAUAAUAUUACAGGUUAAUAUUUCGUAAGACUAAAAAUGCUAGCAAAAGAGAUGGCUCACAAGAUGGAAGCACAUGUCAAGAAGAUCGUUGGCUUUGCCGGAGACACUCUUCAUUCUCUUGGUGCUCAUUCUGCUCCGUUGACUCCAGCUAUCAAAAAGCUGGAAGCACACGGUGGUAAUAUGGGAGGUGCAUGGGAUGAUGGUGCUCACGAAGGUGUUAGAAAAGUAUAUAUAGGGAAAGCCCAAAAUGGUAUAGCAUUCGUCAAGUUUGAGUAUGUCAAUGGUUCUCAUGCCGUUGUUGGAGAUGAACAUGGAAAGAAGACUCUGCUAGGAGUUGAUGAGGUACUUAAAUAGAUUUAUCUAUCUUGUGUUUGGUCAAAAGGGUCUCUCGCUUGUUAGUUCCGGCAUUGAAAUGGAUUGUUUUCUCUUUGCAGUUUGAGAUUGAUGUUGAUGACUACAUCGUAUAUGUAGAAGGUUAUCGUCAGAUAGUUAAUGAUAUGCCCACAGAAAUGAUCACAUUUCUUUCAUUCAAGACUUUCAAAGGCAAAACCUCUCAGCCUAUCGAAAGCAGACCUGGGACUAAGUUUGUGCUUCACGGUGGUAAAAUCGUUGGGUUUCACGGACGUUCGAGCGACGUCCUAUACGCCCUCGGAGCCUAUGUUUCUUUGUCGUGCACUCCGAAAUUGAGUGGGAAAUGGAAAAAGGUAGUAAUCUUAAUCUCCUAGUGUAGCAUAAAAUAUUGGUGUCUUUUUCAUCUCACACAACAAUUUUUAUCAUAAAUCUCACGUACGAGAAAAAUAAUGAAUGAGGAAAAAAAAAAGUGAAAGCUAAUAUAUAUUUUCACUAAUUUUAUCUCACCAAUUUAAUAUAAUUUUAACAAAUAUCAAUAUUGAUUAAUUCUAAGGUGGAGCAAAAAGGAGAAGGGCCAGGGCUAAGAUGUUCGCAUGGCAUAGCACAGGUAGGAAACAAGAUUUACGCCUUUGGUGGGGAGUUCACACCAAAUCAGCCCAUCGACAAACACCUUUACGUCUUUGACCUCGAGACCCAUACUUGGUCCAUUUGUACAGUCACGGGAGACGUCCCGCACCUCUCUUGCUUAGGUGUCCGUAUGGUGU